rnacentral:rRNA from 1 species
UACGUAGGGUGCGAGCGUUAAUCGGAAUUAUUGGGCGUAAAGAGCUCGUAGGCGGUUUGUCGCGUCUGCUGUGAAAUCCCGAGGCUCAACCUCGGGCCUGCAGUGGGUACGGGCAGACUGGAGUGCGGUAGGGGAGAAUGGAAUUCCUGGUGUAGCGGUGAAAUGCGCAGAUAUCAGGAGGAACACCGGUGGCGAAGGCGGUUCUCUGGGAAUAUUCUGACGCUGAGGAGCGAAAGUGUGGGGAGCGAACAGG